rnacentral:rRNA from 1 species
CAUAGCGNAGGAAAGAAACCAACAGGGAUUGCCCUAGUAACGGCGAGUGAAGCGGCAACAGCUCAAAUUUGAAAUCUGGCCCUCUCGGGGGCCCGAGUUGUAAUUUGCAGAGGGUGCUUUGGCGUCGGCUGUGGUCUAAGUUCCUUGGAACAGGACGUCGCAGAGGGUGAGAAUCCCGUAUGUGGCCGCCAGCCUUCGCCGUGUAAAGCCCCUUCGACGAGUCGAGUUGUUUGGGAAUGCAGCUCUAAAUGGGAGGUAAAUUUCUUCUAAAGCUAAAUAUCUGCCAGAGACCGAUAGCGCACAAGUAGAGUGAUCGAAAGAUGAAAAGCACUUUGGAAAGAGAGUCAAAAAGCACGUGAAAUUGUUGAAAGGGAAGCGCUUGCAGUUAGACAUGCCUUUAGUUGCUCAGCCGGGCUCUUUGGCCCGGUGCACUCUUCUAUCGGCAGGCCAGCAUCAGUCUGGGCGGUCGGAUAAAGGCCUAUUAAACGUGACUCCCCUCGGGGAGAGCUUAUAGGGUAGGCGCCAUGCGACCAGCCUGGACUGAGGUCCGCGCAUCUGCUAGGAUGCUGGCGUAAUAGCUGCAAGCGGCCCGUCUUGAAACACGGACCAAGGAGUCUAACAUCUAUGCGAGUGUUUGGGUGUCAAGCCCGGGCGCGUAAUGAAAGUGAACGGAGGUGGGAUCCCCCCCGGGGUGCACCAUCGACCGAUCCUGAUGUCUUCGGAUGGAUUUGAGUAAGAGCAUAGCUGUUGGGACCCGAAAGAUGGUGAACUAUGCCUGAAUAGGGUGAAGCCAGAGGAAACUCUGGUGGAGGCUCGCAGCGGUUCUGACGUGCAAAUCGAUCGUCAAAUUUGGGCAUAGGGGCGAAAGACUAAUCGAACUAUCUAGUAGCUGGUUCCUG